rnacentral:miRNA from 1 species
AUUGCUUGAACCUGGGAGGUGGAGGUUGCAGUGAGCUGAGAUCACGCCACUGCACUCCAACCUGGGCAACAGAGGGAGACUUUGUCUC